rnacentral:rRNA from 1 species
GGGAGGCAGCAGUGGGGAAUAUUGGACAAUGGGGGCAACCCUGAUCCAACAAUGCCCCGUGUGUGAUGAANGCCUUANGGUUGUAAAGCACUUUCACUGGUGAAGAUGAUGACNGUGACCAGAGAANAAGCCCCNGCUAACU